rnacentral:pre_miRNA from 7 species
GACCGCGAGUGAAAAUCGAUUUCCACUGGCGGUUGAGUUAAGAAAAUCGUCAGUGGAAAUUGAUUUUCACUAGCGGUC